AUUGAACGCUGGCGGCAGGCCUAACACAUGCAAGUCGAGCGGAGCGGCGGACGGGUGAGUAAUGCCUAGGAAUCUGCCUGGUAGUGGGGGAUAACGUCAGGAAACGGGCGCUAAUACCGCAUACUAUCAGAUGAGCCUAGGUCGGAUUAGCUAGGUGGUGGGGUAAAGGCCUACCAAGGCGACGAUCCGUAACUGGUCUGAGAGGAUGAUCAGUCACACUUGAACUGAUACACGCUCCAGACUCCGACUGGAGUCAGUAGUGGGGAAUAUUGGACAAUGGGCGAAAGCCUGAUCCGGCCAUGCCGCGUGUGUGAAUAAGGUCUUCAGAUUCGAAAGCACUUUAAGUUGGGAGGCGUUACCAACAGAAUAAGCACCGGCUAACUUCGUGCCAGCCGCCGCGGUAAUAC
rnacentral:rRNA from 1 species